AUGACCUGGUUCCUCAAUCUCUCUCAACCGCCCUAUCUUCUUCUCAAAUAUAAAAUCCAGGGUGAGGGAGUGGAAGGGUGUGCGGAUCUGGUUUUGGCUUCACGGCGGCGUGAUUUGCACGGAUGCCCAGAGGUGAUGCGCAGCUGGGGAACAUCGUUCGGUGGUUUCAGUUCUGAUCCCAAUUCUUUCUCCUAUUAUCUAUUUAUUAUUAUUUUUGCUUCAAAUCUCUUUGUCGUUGCAAGAAUUUUUGACUUGUUGUGGCAGCAAGACAGUAGCAUAUUGAUAGAGAAACAUGAUUAUUUUGGUGGUGGUUUAGCAUCAAGAAUGCAAAGUAGAAUUUUGGGCAAGGCACCAAGUUGA